ensembl:lncRNA
AUAUCGGUGCUGGUGAUGAGUUCAUAGGGGGAGUAUUAAAAGCUUCAUGGGCCACAGAAACAGGACUAGAUGCAGCUAAAGCUGACUCCAUAACAUUACAAUCUCCUCUGAUUACAAAGCCAAACAAUCAUUAGUUCACUUGAAGCAAUCAAAAUUCCUUUUACAUACCAAAUAUCAUUGUGCAUGUUCAUCAAUGUUACAUGGCCAAAGCUGAUGGGUAUUAUGCUUAUUCUUAAGCCAUUUCGUGGAUUAAUUCAGAACAAUAAUAAAUGGUGAUCACAACAAAAUAUAUAUAGAGUGGUUAUGCAGGAGGAUCACGUCAGUUCGGGGCUUGAUUUGGAAGAUAAUGGGAGCCUCUACUUCCUGUGUGUUUGUGCUAUUAUCAGCAAUCGUUAAUGCAUCGUAAAUAUUUCCACUGAAUAAAAUACACAAGGAGGUUUUAAAUAUGAGGUUUGGGGUUUCUCUCCUGGGAACACGGGAAGGUUUUAUCUUAAAACCAGAUGCAAUUCUACCUCAUAUUGCACCAUUGUUACUACUAUAGACAAGACUCAGAGCUUAAAUUAAAUAAUCACAUUAUUUACAGAUUCACAGCCUUCUUCCAAUCAUUGAAUUAUUAAGGAAAUAAUUAAAGGCAGAUUCAUAAAAUGUUGAAAUUAUGUUUCAUUAAUAUUUGUUGUGUAACAAAAAGGGAUGUGCAGGAACAUUAAUAUAUUGAUAACAGGGACAUUAAACUUAGAUCUCACGGACCACUACUUGACAUAUCAGUGAACCUAAUCCUCACUGACAUGUUGUUAAAGCUAUUGUUUUCCAAUCUUUGCUCUCCAAACAGGCAAUCCCCGUAGUUCUAAAGCUCCUCAUACGGACAGACACUACUCAAACUGUCCAUUAGAACCUCCUCCUAACUGAAGCAAUCAUUUGCUGCCAAAUGUGCAUCAGCAUGCUGCCGUUUAAUGAGGCAAUUAAACAAUUGUAAUGUUGAAUUGUAUGAAAAACUCAAAUUAAAUUUAUUAUGGCGAUGGUGAAGCUACAUAUUUUUGAUAUAAUUGAGAUCAAAUGUUCAAAAUCCUGCAUGCAUCAAGCGGUUUGAGUCUUCCCCUAAACACAUUUGACCCCGUCUUUGGAUUGGCUGGAGCGAUGUGGAGACGAUGCUUUCAGGGUCAGAUCGCUGCGAGGUGCGUCCGCUCCCGCCGCCCCCCUCGCCAUCCACGACUUAAAUCUUCGGCUGCUUUCCAGCCACGCCGCCUACCAAGGGCUCCUUUUAGAAUAACUUAUUUCCCCGUUGACAUGGUUCAGCUACUGUAAAGAAAAGGGCACCGUCUCUCGCUCUUUAAUCUCAUGAAGUGCUCGGCAAGAACGACAGCUUUGUUUCUCCGAUGCGCCCUGAAACAAGCUCCAUAUCUCACGCGCUUGAGCGCCCGCUCAGCAUCUCGCCGUCGUAGACCGAGCUUUGGCAUGUUUGCCGGAGCGCCUUGAGCGCCGUGUACAACCAGUAUGGAUAAACCGAUUAACCAAUCUGUUCGUUUAAAUUGUUUGUGCUUCAUCAAUUAAUGUUUCACAUAACCGCAUCAUACAUAUUUUUAUAUUAAUUUCAAACUUUUCAAAAUUGAAAAUUAAAACCUUUUUAUUUAUUUAUUGUAAAUGACCUCUCGCGGCCCACCUGCCGUAUCUUCACGGCCCACACUUUGGGGAUCGCUGAUAUAUACUAUACAUAAAUCAAUACACAUAUCAGGCUGUGUGUCCUUCACUGCCUACAGCAUAAUGCGAUGCAUCUCCAUCUGUACGGUUUUCCAUUACGACCUUAAGUUUGGACGGACAGAGCCUCACUAACAGCCUUUUAAUUGCAGCAACAGUGUAAUAAUACUGGCAGCAGUCCCAUUAUAUUGUUACGUAGCGCUGCUACUUACCACAAGACAAUAGAAGCAGCAGAGCCAGGUUAAUCAGCAGGAAGAAAUACACAAGAGGUGAAGUGCCAGGAGUGACCAUUCAGACAUUUCUUUCAAUUCUGCGGUAUUUACCUUCCAUAAUUGUAUUUUUUUUUCUUAGUGAACAUGGCUUACCAUAUUACCAUGGUAAUCCCCAAUUACUGGCGGAGGAAGAACUUUGUGUGUGUGUCUCACACAUAAACACAAGGAGGUGAGGUGUGCUAUUUUUUCAUGGUUGUGUGGAGAGGAGAGCCAAUUAGUGAGCAUCCAGAUGCUGUUUAGUUAAUCCCUGCUCUGGAGGAGAGUUUACACACACACACACACACACACACACACGCACACACACAAACCUGUAUACAAGUCUGUCAAUCAAGCUUCCACAGAGGUUAAAAAUCACACACACAUGUAAAUAUCUCCUUGAGAAGUCAUUUAAUGUCUAUGAAAUAUGCACAAAUGCAUGUGUAGCAGUGCAAUUAUUUCUCAUGUUAAUUAGAACCGCCUGGAUCCGCUCAGUGAGGAGUUUUAGAUAUCCUGCAGUUGAAGACGACAUAGUAUAUGUACACCGAUGACGUUACAAAGUUCUACCUGAGCCUCCCACUAUUCCGCUGAUCUAUACGCAGCAAAACGCCAUCAAAGACAGGGAAGAAGAAGACUGCAACCUAAAUGCCAAAUUUAAUGAAACAAAAAAAUACAACUGCAAGGGUUUCUUCCCAUAGAACCCUGCACUCAGUAACAAGCCCUCCAGUGGCUGUUUUCACCCUCUGAGAUGUCCCUAGUGCCCCCUACUGGUGGCAGGACAGCAUCAUGUCCUUGUGUUUUUCCAUUUCCUUUGUUUUUCUCUCCGACUCUCUGUUCACUAGUAUAUUGGUUUGGUUUGAUUGUGUGAUUAUGUAGAAUUUACACCUGCUACCUUCUUUUAACAUAGUUUCCUCUUACAUUUCUUUCUUUUUCUUGUCCUUACCAUUUUUUUGCACUUAGCCCCCCACCUAUUAGGUGUCAGUAAAGAAACCGUAUAUAAACGGGAAAAGUCCCAAAUGUAAGAAUAAGUAUUGAUCAUCUCUGAUGUAAUUAUAUAAUUACAUCAGAGAUGAUAUAUCUAUAUCUAUAUAUACACACACACACACACACAGUGCAUCUGGAAAGUAUUCACAGCGCUUCACUUUUUCCACAUUUUGUUAUGUUACCGCCUUAUUCCAAAAUGGAUUAAAUUCAUUAUUUUCCUCAACAUUCUACACACAACAACCCAUAAUGACAAAGUGAAAACUGUUUGUUGCAAAUUUUUGCAAAUCUGUUCUGUACAUAAGUAUUCGCAGCCUUUGCUCAAUACUUUGUUGAAGCACCUUUGGCAGCAAUUACCGCCUCAAGUCUUCUUGGGUAUGAUUCCACAAGCAUUGCACACCUAUUUC